UACGUAGGGUGCAAGCGUUAAUCGGAAUUACUGGGCGUAAAGCGUGCGCAGGCGGCUUUGCAAGACAGAUGUGAAAUCCCCCGGGCUCAACCUGGGAACUGCAUUUGUGACUGCAAAGCUAGAGUACGGCAGAGGGGGAUGGAAUUCCGCGUGUAGCAGUGAAAUGCGUAGAUAUCGUGAGGAAGACCAGUGGCGAAGGCGGAUCUCUGGACAGUUCCUGACGCUGAGGCGCGAAAGCGUGGGGAGCAAACAGG
rnacentral:rRNA from 1 species